rnacentral:rRNA from 1 species
AACCCUUCGGGCGAAGAUAAGACGGAUUAGCGGCGGACGGGUGAGUAACACGUGAGUAACCUGCCUUUUACACAGGGAUAGCCUCGGGAAACCGGGAUUAAAACCUGAUGAAACUAUCAAAUCACAUGAUUAAGAAAGUUAAAACUCCGGUGGUAAAAGAUGGACUCGCGUCCCAUUAGCUAGUUGGUGAAGGUAACGGCCCACCAAGGCAACGAUGGGUAGCCGGCCUGAGAGGGUGAACGGCCACAUUGGAACUGAGAAACGGUCCAAACUCCUACGGGAGGCAGCAGUU